UGUCGUCAGCUCGUGUCGUGAGAUGUUGGGUUAAGUCCCGCAACGAGCGCAACCCUUGCCUUUAGUUGCCAGCAGUUCGGCUGGGCACUCUAAAGGGACUGCCGGUGUUAAACCGGAGGAAGGUGGGGAUGACGUCAAGUCCUCAUGGCCUUUAUGACCAGGGCUACACACGUACUACAAUGGCCGAUACAAAGGGCAGCGACACUGUGAGGUGAAGCCAAUCCCGUAAAAUCGGUCUCAGUCCGGAUUGGAGUCUGCAACUCGACUCCAUGAAGUUGGAAUCGCUAGUAAUCGUGGAUCAGCAUGCCACGGUGAAUACGUUCCCGGGCCUU
rnacentral:rRNA from 1 species